CCCCAAGGCUGGAUCAGAAUGGAGGUGCUCACGUAGGAGUCACAGGCCCAGCCUCCCCAGGCCCCUCCAGAAUAUCGGGGUACACAGCCUGAGAACUUUCUAAGAAACAUCUGUGGGCUGAAGAAAGAGUUGUCUGGGUAUUGGUUGGAGAGCAGCAAAAAUGAAUGUGCAUACACAGAGACAGACAGUCUCUCUCCCCUCUCUCUCUUUCUCUCUCUUUCUCUUCUCUCUCUUUCUCCCCCCCCCUCUCUCUCUGUCUCUCUCUCCUCUCUCUCUCUUUCUUUCUCUCUCCCUUUCUCUUUCUCCUCUCUCUUUCUCUCCCUCUCUCUUUCUCUCCCUCUCUCUCUCCCCCUCUUUCUCUCUCCUCUCUCUUUUCUCUCUCUCUCCUCUCUCUCUUGAUCCUCUC
rnacentral:lncRNA from 1 species